rnacentral:lncRNA from 1 species
ACUCUAGAAAUGCAAUCCCCAAGUCACUGACCCCUGGCAUUAAUUCUGGGUGCUGGGGGGUGGCCGUGGGCAGCUUGGCCAGUGUCACUGCCUACAAAUGGUCCUGGGGCCCUGGGAAUGGGUGCGUGACAGGUGGGAAAAUGCAUUUCCUCCAAAAGGCAGAGCCCGCAUAAGUAGGGGCCGCUCCCAGCGUUCAUCUGCCGACCUCGCAGCUGACCCAUUGUCCUUGGCACCGGUUCAGGAACAAGCUCAGCUCAGGACGAUGGCCACGAGAGCCACUUUUUGGCUCUUCUCUUCCUUUCCCUCUUGAGGAAAGCCUCACCUGGGAAGCAACAGCUGGAGGGAGUGAAUGGUUUUGUUACGCUCGGAGAAAGAACAGGUUUCGUCACGGCCUUCCCACUCUGACCAGCAGCACCUUGGGAUACUGGGGUGCCACCCGCACUCUGCACCCUGCACCCCACACCCUGUAGAGCAACCCCACGUGCCAGCGAGUGGCCUCAGAGCAGCCUGCCCAGGCCCGGGGCUCGUGGCUUGCCUGUUUCCCGGGUGGGGGAGGGCGGAAAGGAGAGUGUGAGGGAGCGGCUGGCUGAGAGAUUAGGAUCUCAGCUCCUCUACAAGAUGCAUGAGCCUCGCCGCUCCUGUGCGGGCCCCAUUCCUCUUCUGAUCCAUUAGCGGGGUCUCCAUCACGGCUGUAUCUCCCUCGGAGGUCGGGUAGCAUCCAUCCUGGCUGGCCGCACCCGCAUUUCCGUGUCGCAUGAUCCAUCCGGUGCCUCUGCAGACAGCAGGCACUAGGACAGAUGGGCUG